UACAGAGGUCUCAAGCGUUGUUCGGAUUCAUUGGGCGUAAAGGGCGCGUAGGCUGCGGGGCAAGUCGGGUGUGAAAUCUCAGGGCUCAACCCUGAAACUGCAUUCGAUACUGCGGUGCUUGAGGACUGGAGAGGAGACUGGAAUUCAUGGUGUAGCAGUGAAAUGCGUAGAGAUCAUGAGGAAGACCAGUGGCGAAGGCGGGUCUCUGGACAGUUCCUGACACUGAGACACGAAGGCCAGGGGAGCAAACGGG
rnacentral:rRNA from 1 species